CCUACGGGAGGCUGCAGUGAGGAAUAUUGGUCAAUGGGCGCGAGCCUGAACUAGCCAAGUAGCGUGAAGGAUGACUGCCCUACGGGUUUUAAACUUCUUUUAUAAAGGAAUAAGGUCAGUCACGUGUGCCUGUUUGUAUUUACUUUAUGAAUAAGGAUCGGCUAACUCCGUGCCAGCCGCCGCGGUAAUACGGAGGAUCCGAGCGUUAUCCGGAUUUAUUGGGUUUAAAGUGAGCGUAGAUGGGUUGUUAAGUCAGUUGUGAAAGCUUGCGGCUCAACCGUAAAAUUGCAAUUGAUACUGGCAGUCUUGAGUACAGUUGAGGUAGGCGGAAUUCGUGGUGUAGCGGUGAAAUGCUUAGAGAUCACGAAGAACUCCGAUUGCGAAGGCAGCUUACUAAACUGCCACUGACAUUGAUGCGCGAAAGUGUGGGGAGCAAACAGGAUUAGAUACCCUGGUAGUC
rnacentral:rRNA from 1 species